rnacentral:rRNA from 1 species
UACAGAGGUCCCGAGCGUUGUUCGGAUUCACUGGGCGUAAAGGGCGCGUAGGCGGCGGUGUAAGUUUGAUGUGAAAUCUCCGGGCUUAACCCGGAAACUGCAUUGAAUACUAUUCCGCUGGAGGUUUGGAGGGGGGACUGGAAUUCUCGGUGUAGCAGUGAAAUGCGUAGAUAUCGAGAGGAACACCAGUGGCGAAGGCGAGUCCCUGGACAGCACCUGACACUGAGGCACGAAAGCUAGGGGAGCAAACAGG